UGAUUUAGGUUGUUUAUUUCUUGAUUUUAUCUUAAUUUAUCUUAUUAUUUAUUUAAGUCUGAAUCAACUCUCUCAUUCUUCUCACCCAUCCUCAACCGCCCCUUUUCUCCUUCACCCUAAACCCUUGAUUCCUCCAACCUCCUCCUCCGCUCCUAGCUUUUAGGGUUUUUGUUCUUCCAGAAUUGAUUUUGUUGUUCAACUAAUUAAAAGAUAUCAUUUAUGAUUUUGGGAUUCCGGUUCGUGGGAUGAAAUUGAAGGUGCCCGUUAUCGAUUUGAGUGACCGUGAUGAAGGGAAGGUUCCGCAUGAGAUAAUGGAUGCAAGUAGGGGAAGACAAAGGUCGGAGAGAUUACGACGGCUCAGUGGAUUCCAGCUGGCUUCCGCUGGCUUCUAUUUGUUUCUUUGUUACAAAUAUUUGUUUCUUGAAUGAUUGUAGGUUCAGCAAAUUUUGUCAGAUGAUUACAGGAAGCCCUCUUAAGGAAUAUCCAUAUGAAAGAAAAGCAUGAGAUGCAAUUACAACAAUGGUCAAUCAAAGAAGAAUUUUAUUUCGUUGCAGUAUAUUACACUUAUUGGUCUUUUGAUUCUGCUCUAUGAAUAUCAACAUACAUUGCAGUUUGCUUCUUUCUCUUUGGGAACAUUACUUAGGUUCUUGGAAACAAGUACCAAAGAAAACGACUUGAAAUAAUUGAAGCCAGUUUUACUGAUGUUGGAGAUUGUCUACCACUCAAGCACAUAUAUCAAAUCGCUUUUUUUUUUUGUUUGGUGGUCUCCCUUCACGAGUUCUUGAAGAAAUUGGCAGAUAGUAGCAAAUGGGAACUGAGGAUUGAGAAGUAUGUUAGAGAGCAUGUUAGUAGCACAAGCAAGGGUUCUAUAAGAGAAGCGGAAAUUAAUCAGGGACUGUUAGGUUAGUUAGAUGUUAUUAUAGUAGUUACUUAGUACUAGGAUGAGAUGAACUAUAAAUAAAGGGAAAUCAAAUUAGAGGGACGCAUUAUGUUGCAUUAUAUAUCUCUCAUUAAGUAUUUCCUUUAGUAUUUGAAAUUAUUGCUAAAGUUUGGUAUUGAACAUGUCUUAAGCACAAGAGAAAGUUAUU